CAGUAGCCGCGGGAAUACGUAGGGUGCGAGCGUUAAUCGGAAUUACUGGGCGUAAAGCGUGCGCAGGCGGUUUUGUAAGACAGGCGUGAAAUCCCCGGGCUCAACCUGGGAAUGGCGCUUGUGACUGCAAAGCUAGAGUGCGGCAGAGGGGGAUGGAAUUCCGCGUGUUGCAGUGAAAUGCGUAGAUAUGCGGAGGAACACCGAUGGCGAAGGCAAUCCCCUGGGCCUGCACUGACGCUCAUGCACGAAAGCGUGGGGAGCAAACAGGAUUAGAUACCCCGGUAGUCCCUGUCUCUUAUAC
rnacentral:rRNA from 1 species